UCCGUAGGUGGUUUGUCAAGUCUGUCGUCAAAGAAUGGAGCUUAACUCCAUAAAGGCGGUGGAAACUGAGAGACUAGAGUUCGGUAGGGGUAGCGGGAAUUCCCAGUGUAGCGGUGAAAUGCGUAGAUAUUGGGAAGAAUAUCGGUGGCGAAAGCGCGCUACUGGGCCGAAACUGACACUGAGGGACGAAAGCUAGGGUAGCGAAAG
rnacentral:rRNA from 1 species